GAUGAAGAACGCAGCGAAAUGCGAUACGUAAUGUGAAUUGCAGAAUUCAGUGAAUCAUCGAAUCUUUGAACGCACAUUGCGCCCGCCAGCACUCUGGCGGGCAUGCCUGUUCGAGCGUCAUUUCAACCAUCAAGCCCCCGGGCCUGGCGUUGGGGAUCGGCGGAAGCCCCCUGCGGGCACAACGCCGUCCCCCAAAUACAGUGGCGGUCCCGCCGCAGCUUCCAUUGCGUAGUAGCUAACACCUCGCAACUGGAGAGCGGCGCGGCCACGCCGUAAAACACCCAACUUCUGAAUGUUGACCUCGAAUCAGGUAGGAAUACCCGCUGAACUUAAGCAUAUCAAUAAGCGGAGGA
rnacentral:misc_RNA from 1 species